rnacentral:rRNA from 1 species
GAUGAACGCUGGCGGCGUGCCUAAUACAUGCAAGUCGAGCGAACAGGCGAGGAGCUUGCUCCUCUGACGUUAGCGGCGGACGGGUGAGUAACACGUGGAUAACCUACCUAUAAGACUGGGAUAACUUCGGGAAACCGGAGCUAAUACCGGAUAAUAUAUUGAACCGCAUGGUUCAAUAGUGAAAGACGGUUUUGCUGUCACUUAUAGAUGGAUCCGCGCCGCAUUAGCUAGUUGGUAAGGUAACGGCUUACCAAGGCAACGAUGCGUAGCCGACCUGAGAGGGUGAUCGGUCACACUGGAACUGAGACACGGUCCAGACUCCUACGGGAGGCAGCAGUAGGGAAUCUUCCGCAAUGGGCGAAAGCCUGACGGAGCAACGCCGCGUGAGUGAUGAAGGUCUUCGGAUCGUAAAACUCUGUUAUUAGGGAAGAACAAAUGUGUAAGUAACUAUGCACGUCUUGACGGUACCUAAUCAGAAAGCCACGGCUAACUACGUG